rnacentral:rRNA from 1 species
GAUGAACGCUGGCGGCGUGCCUAAUACAUGCAAGUCGAGCGAACGGACGAGAAGCUUGCUUUUCUGAUGUUAGCGGCGGACGGGUGAGUAACACGUGGAUAACCUACCUAUAAGACUGGGAUAACUUCGGGAAACCGGAGCUAAUACCGGAUAAUAUUUUGACCGCAUGGUUCAAAAGUGAAAGACGGUCUUGCUGUCACUUAUAGAUGGAUCCGCGCUGCAUUAGCUAGUUGGUAAGGUAACGGCUUACCAAGGCAACGAUGCAUAGCCGACCUGAGAGGGUGAUCGGCCACACUGGAACUGAGACACGGUCCAGACUCCUACGGGAGGCAGCAGUAGGGAAUCUUCCGCAAUGGGCGAAAGCCUGACGGAGCAGCGCCGCGUGAGUGAUGAAGGUCUUCGGAUCGUAAAACUCUGUUAUUAGGGAAGAACAUAUGUGUAAGUAACUGUGCACAUCUUGACGGUACCUAAUCAGAAAGCCACGGCUAACUACGUG